rnacentral:pre_miRNA from 1 species
UUAACUCAUAUUUGUAUGGAAUGGGAUCGUUUGCGUACGUUUGCCGCUAGGGGCGCUGUUCCAACUGCAUACAAAAUUCGGUCU